GACAGAGGUGCCGAGCGUUAGGCGGAAUCACUGGGCUUAAAGCGUGUGUAGGCGGAUCGUUAAGUGCGUUGUGAAAUCCCACGGCUCACCCGUGGAACUGCUGGGCAUACUGGCGGUCUUGAGCCACCUAGGGGCAACCGGAACAAACGGUGGAGCGGUGAAAUGCGUAGAUAUCAUUUGGAACGCCAAUGGUGAAAACAGCUCGCUGGGGGUUUGCUGACGCUGAGACACGAAAGCCAGGGGAGCAAACGGG
rnacentral:rRNA from 1 species